GGACUGGUGGCUCAAGCUGGAAGAGCACCAGUGUACUACACUGGAGGCCACAGGUUCAAUCCCUGUCUAGUCCA
rfam:Paxillus rubicundulus Ve08.2h10 scaffold_138_c1, whole genome shotgun sequence.